GUUCUUGAUCCCCGCAUUAAGUUCAAGUUUUUAGGAUAUGCCUACUCCAAGCUAUAUGAUGGUGAUGAUGCCCUUCAGCGCAUUAAUCUUGUUAAAACUACAAUGACUUCUUUAUUUAAUGAGUAUGGUAGUGGUGUACAUGUCAAUGAAAACUUAGCAACAAGUGCAUCAUCAAGCACGUGUGGACUUGGUGCCUUUUCUGACUAUGAUCAGUAUGUGGAAAGCACGAGCUCACAUGAAGAGAGAUCUGAAUUGGAAUUGUAUUUGGCUGAACCUGCGAAGAGGUUGAAUGAAAAUGUCAAUAUCUUGGAUUUCUGGAGUAAGUCUGCAGCUAGGUAUCCGCAACUAGCAAGAAUGGCACGUGAUAUCCUUGCAGUUCCUGUGUCAAGUGUUGCUUCAGAAUCCGCUUUCAGCUUGAGUAAGAAGGUUAUAACCCCGAACCGAAACUCACUUAAACCAAAGACGGUUGAGGCCCUAAUGUGUUUGCAAGAUUGGUAUCGUUGCAAACUGCAGAAAAAAGAAGAUAAUAAGAGAAAGGCAGAAGAAGUGAUUGCG
rnacentral:rRNA from 1 species